rnacentral:lncRNA from 1 species
AUAGAAGUGGUAAAAGGUAAAGUAAUACUCCGCUCGGUAUUUAGAAAUUCCCCUUUCCAGUUCUGAGUUCAAAUCCCUCCCGGAUCAGUUUUGGUUUCAUGCAUCCCGAGUCAAUAAAUUAAGUGUCCGUCAAUAAAUUUUUUUUACCUCACUCCACCACCUUUAUGGUCUACUGAGAAUGCUAAAAUAAAUUGCCAUUAUGUUUGUUGGGAGACACUAGCUGAACUUGCUUCCCAGCAUUACUUCAAGGUCACAGAGUUAAAGACAAGGAAAUCUGCAAUUCUAUGGUGUUCACGCCAUUUCUAAUAGCAUUAAAAGAAUAAGUGAAAUGAAAUGGUUUCAACCAGAAAUCAAAACCGUUCACUAGAAGUUUUCCCCGUGCCUGCCUCAGCAGUAUGAAGUACCAGUAUCAAACAUUAACCUCAAUCAACCUUAUUUAUUAGUCUUCUCUCCCUUCAUUGUCUCUGAGUAUUUAUCUUCCCAUCUGGAUCACUGGAAACUUCAAAUUCAAGUUCUUCUCAAGCAAUGUUAUAUAUUAAAAAAAUUAAUCUCCAAAGUUGUCGUCUUGUGUUGUAAUCUCUUUAAAUCUUUUAAUCUUUCUGAAUUUUUAUCCAUUUCGUUCCCAAACUCAGACCAUAAGCAUACGUAUUUAACUCACUCCACUGCAAUUGAAGAAAUAAAUUGGGACAGAUGGAAGCAGAGAACGGUAAAAUACUAAAGAAAUUCAAAGAUAGUGGAAAGAAAUCUUUAAAGAAAAUACUGAGCAAAAGAAGAAGGAAAAGAAGGAAACAGUGGUCUUAGAUUCUUCAGAGGACUUGAUCUUGAAAGAGCUGUAAUGUUCUUUAAGAAGAAAUUGUGAAGCUGGUAUGAGGAUCUAAGAAACUGUGUUCGCGAUUAAGGAGAAGACAGUUAAACAAUUGUGGGCAUCUAGGAAAAAAAAUAGACAGGAAGUUUACAAUGAGCAGUGUUACCUUGGAAACAAAAGAAGAGACUACAAAUCGAGAUGAACGGAUGAAAUGAACGUCACUAACUUUAAUAGUAGCUCACUUUGCAUAUUGUGAAAGCAAGAAAGAUCAAUUGUACAAACAUAUCUGCAAGAAUUUUCUCUAAAUGCAACCAAAAACAUGUCAGUUUUAUUUCUGCUGACUGAAAACAAAACAAAAACAAAAACAAAAGUACAAAGAUGAAAUGAUGACGAUGAUGACUAUA